AUUGAACGCUGGCGGCAGGCCUAACACAUGCAAGUCGAACGAGUGGCGGACGGGUGAGUAAUGCUUGGGAAACUGCCUGAUGGAGGGGGAUAACUACUGGAAACGGUAGCUAAUACCGCAUACCAUCAGAUGUGCCCAAGUGGGAUUAGAUUGUUGGUGGGGUAAUGGCUCACCAAGGCGACGAUCCCUAGCUGGUCUGAGAGGAUGACCAGCCACACUGGGACUGAGACACGGUCCGGACUCCUACGGGAGGCAGCAGUGGGGAAUAUUGCGCAAUGGGCGCAAGCCUGAUGCAGCCAUGCCGCGUGUAUGAAGAAGGCCUUCGGGUUGUAAAGUACUUUCAGCGGGGAGGCGUUACCCGCAGAAGAAGCACCGGCUAACUCCGUGCCAGCAGCCGCGGUAAUAC
rnacentral:rRNA from 1 species